rnacentral:rRNA from 1 species
UACGUAGGGGGCAAGCGUUGUCCGGAUUUACUGGGCGUAAAGAGCGCGUAGGCGGACGUUUUAAGUGUGGCCUGAAAGCCCCCGGCUCAACCGGGGAUCCGGGUUGCAAACUGGGCGUCUUGAGGGGGAUAGGGGAAGGUGGAAUUCCUGGUGUAGCGGUGAAAUGCGUAGAGAUCAGGAGGAACACCCGUGGCGAAGGGCGG